rnacentral:rRNA from 1 species
ACGGAAGGCAGCAGUGAGGAAUAUUGGUCAAUGGGCGGGAGCCUGAACCAGCCAAGUAGCGUGAGGGAUGACUGCCCUACGGGUUGUAAACCUCUUUUGUUUGGGAAUAAAGGAGCCUACGUGUAGGCUUUUGCAUGUACCUUUCGAAUAAGCAUCGGCUAAUUCCGUGCCAGCAGCCGCGGUAAUACGGAAGAUGCGAGCGUUAUCCGGAUUUAUUGGGUUUAAAGGGAGCGUAGGCGGCCUUUUAAGUCUGCGGUCAAAUGGCAGGGCCCAACCUUGGCAUGCCGUGGAUACUGAUGGGCUUGAAUACACGCAAGGCAAGUGGAAUUCGUCGUGUAGCGGUGAAAUGCAUAGAUAUGACGAAGAACUCCGAUUGCGAAGGCAGCUUGCUGGUGUGCGAUUGACGCUGAGGCUCGAGAGUGCGGGAAUCAAACAGGAUUAGAUACCCUGGUA